AGAGUUUGAUCCUGGCUCAGGAUGAACGCUAGCGACAGGCCUAACACAUGCAAGUCGAGGGGCAGCGGAGAGGUAGCAAUACCUUUGCCGGCGACCGGCGCACGGGUGAGUAACACGUAUGCAAUCCACCUGUAACAGGGGGAUAACCCGGAGAAAUCCGGACUAAUACCCCAUAAUAUGGACACUCCGCAUGGAGAGUCCAUUAAAGAAAGCAAUUUUGGUUACAGACGAGCAUGCGCUCCAUUAGCCAGUUGGCGGGGUAACGGCCCACCAAAGCGACGAUGGAUAGGGGUUCUGAGAGGAAGGUCCCCCACAUUGGAACUGAGACACGGUCCAAACUCCUACGGGAGGCAGCAGUGAGGAAUAUUGGUCAAUGGUCGGCAGACUGAACCAGCCAAGUCGCGUGAGGGAAGACGGCCCUACGGGUUGUAAACCUCUUUUGUCGGAGAGUAAAGUACGCUACGUGUAGCGUAUUGCAAGUAUCCGAAGAAAAAGCAUCGGCUAACUCCGUGCCAGCAGCCGCGGUAAUACGGAGGAUGCGAGCGUUAUCCGGAUUUAUUGGGUUUAAAGGGUGCGUAGGCGGCACGCCAAGUCAGCGGUGAAAUUUCCGGGCUCAACCCGGAAUGUGCCGUUGAAACUGGCGAGCUAGAGUACACAAGAGGCAGGCGGAAUGCGUGGUGUAGCGGUGAAAUGCAUAGAUAUCACGCAGAACCCCGAUUGCGAAGGCAGCCUGCUAGGGUGAAACAGACGCUGAGGCACGAAAGCGUGGGUAUCGAACAGGAUUAGAUACCCUGGUAGUCCACGCAGUAAACGAUGAAUACUAACUGUUUGCGAUACAAUGUAAGCGGUACAGCGAAAGCGUUAAGUAUUCCACCUGGGGAGUACGCCGGCAACGGUGAAACUCAA
rnacentral:rRNA from 1 species